rnacentral:sRNA from 1 species
CUUCUUCAACCUGUUGCGGACAGAUAAAGUGGAUGUGUGCAUCAAUACCGCCCGCCGUCAGAAUCGAACCUUCGCCGGCAAUCACUUCGGUACCCGGGCCGAUGAUCAGAUCAACAUUGUCCUGCACAUCGGGGUUACCGGCUUUACCGAUACCAACAAUACGGCCGGCUUUGACACCGACAUCGCCUUUAACAAUGCCCCAGUGAUCGAGAAUCAACGCAUUGGUGAUCACCAGGUCAACGGUCUCUUGACUGGCACGUUGCGACUGCCCCAUGCCAUCCCGAAU